rnacentral:rRNA from 1 species
AUUCCUACGGGGGGCAGCAGUAGGGAAUCUUCCACAAUGGACGAAAGUCUGAUGGAGCAACGCCGCGUGAGUGAAGAAGGGUUUCGGCUCGUAAAGCUCUGUUGGUAGUGAAGAAAGAUAGAGGUAGUAACUGGCCUUUAUUUGACGGUAAUUACUUAGAAAGUCACGGCUAACUACGUGCCAGCAGCCGCGGUAAUACGUAGGUGGCAAGCGUUGUCCGGAUUUAUUGGGCGUAAAGCGAGUGCAGGCGGGUUAAUAAAGUUGUUGGGGAAGCCUUUGGGUCAAAC